AUUGAACGCUGGCGGCAUGGUUAAUGCAUGCAAGUCGAACGAAAGCCCUUCGGGGUGAAAGUGGCGAAAGGGCGAGUAAUGCGAUCGAACGUACCCCAAGGUGGAGGAUAGUGUCGGGAAACCGGCGGUAAUACUCCAUGUGCUCUUCGGAGGAAAGCUUUGGCGCCUUGGGAGCGGCGAUCGUCCUAUCAGGUAGUUGGUGAGGUAAAGGCUCACCAAGCCGAAGACGGGUAGCGGGUGUGAGAGCAUGACCCGCCGCAUCGGAACUGAGACACUGUCCGG
rnacentral:rRNA from 1 species